CAGAUUAUCACACAGACAGCUGCUGUUUUCAUCAAAUGUCUGUUUGCAUUGCUGGAGGUGAACUCUAUUGCUGUCAUGGAUCUUUCAUUUGGGGUUUCCUGGCUUUGCGUGCUUCUGUGGGGCUCCAUUUGCUUUCCUCCUCAAACUGGUUACGGUAUUGCACAUGGAUACAAUCUGCACAAGAGCCCACAAACCCCUAGCCAGGUUAUUCCUGGAGAAUCUUUAAAGCCGACAUAUGAAAAUGAGAUAGACGCUAUGGGGGAACAAAGCUUUGUUUCAUUGCAAAGUGGACCGGUUUUUCAUGACGACUGGUUGCAUUUUGGUUCUGUUGGUAGCUUCCCUGAAGAGAUUGUGCCAAGCCAACCAGGCCUGGUGGACCAGGAAGACAUCAAUGAGAGUAAAAAUGGGCAAAACAUUUGGAGCAGACAGGGUAAAACUGAGAAACCCCUGGAUAAGCACAGCUUUUUUACAAAGUCUGUCGAUUUCACUGAAAACAUCAUCCCUUCUACUCUUCACGGUAACCAAGUCUUUAUUCACCAAUCUACUCGCCAUCUGUAUAAUGGCUUUCCUGCCCCAGAACUUCUUAAAAAUAACAUAAUCAAUAAUGGGCUUCCUGGUGAACAUAAUGAUUGUUUUAUUAGUGUUUCCAAAAACAAUCAAGUUCACUCAGGCUACGACCAACCACAGCAGAGAGAAAUCCCUUCCAGUGUAUUCUCCGGUGAGGAUUCAAUCACUGACCGUAAGACCGUAGCUGUGUUUGAUGCCUCUAACGGCCCAUCUCAAGAUUUCAUCUUCUUUUCAAAGAAGAGAUCCAGUUCAGCUCCUUUAGGGUACAGGUCAAAGCUCCAUAGGACAAAAUACAAACCUGUAUUUUCAUCUGGCUUUGACAACAGUAAGAGUUCCACAAAGUGGGUCAAAUUCAUGUCCUCUCUUUACUUAAACCCCCAUCUUUAAAUUACUUCAAACCAAAAAAUCAGAUCUAUGUCCCAAAUUAUGAGGGCAGAAACAAGAACAAAUUCCAAUCCUUCCAUACAUACAAAUCCAGUGUUGGCAAGAAAUCAAAGGAUGGAGGGCGUCCUCCCACAUCCUCGACGAAGGCGUCUACUGAAUCCGCUCCAAACUUCAAAUUACUUUUUCCACAUCUGGGUCUACGAGCAAAUAUACCAGAAAAGGAGCAGGGUAGAUCUCACCUGGCAUUUAAUGUGAAACUUUCCAGUCCUUUAUAUGGCUCAAAUGAACGUUCCAGCAAUCUUGGACACCAGAGGUUUAACGCUGGUCCCUUUAUUCUGGAUGCCCACCCAGAAAAUAAAGAGAAAUCCUCCAGCUAUGAACCAAAUAAAAAGAUUUUCUCCCAACAUAAAGAUAUGCAUUCAAUCCACAAAGAAAUUCCACCUCAAACCCGUCCUAGCUCCUUUUCUGCUCAAGAUAGAUUCCUUUUUCUAAAUGGUGGCUAUGAGGAUGCAAUGAAAGCUGGUUUGCUAAAGCCAAUAAGCCAGCCAGACGGCAUGCAGAUGCUUUCUGACUCCAUGAAAACAGAUCCCACUAACUUUUUCUCUUGGCCUUCUGAGCUGUUUUCUGAACCCAGAGAAGCAGAUUUAAAUUGUAUAAUCUGGAAGAACACAAAAAGUUCUUCUCAACCAAGGUCCCAAAAGUCAGCCCGCUCCUCUGUAAAUGCAUACAUUAAGUCCAAAAACCGCUCCGCAAGGACUACGGCGUUCUUCUCCAGGACCUGUUACAAACCAUUUCAGCAGACAAGGCUGAUAAAUGGCAAUGGGAAUCCGUCGUAAGAUGACCUGCUAAUAAAUCCCACACCUCAAUAUGCAAAAGCAGUCGGUCAAACGGUGAAGAAGUAACCAUUCCUCAAGUCACAAAAUGGAUUUGUUUCCAGGUACAAACCAGGUUUUUGGUCAUCAAAAAACUGGAAGGGGGGCCCGACUUUCUACAGUUUUUGUUUGUCCACCAUGCAAUGUAAAUGUUGCCAAAGAUAAAUUUCCAGUUGCAAAUAUCAAAAGCAGUAAACUUCCAUAUUUAAGCACCA